ensembl:lncRNA
CGCGUGGACCUCUGUGCGUUAGUCGCUGAAUAGUUCUGCUCCUGUCCGUGUGAACAUGCACAUAGUCAAUCACCGGCGACCGGGGACUACAAAGCUUCAAUAGCGAUGUCCACAUCGCAGUCUUUCACCGCCGAGAAGUAUUUUAGAAACGACGAUAAUCGCUCAGACAGGAUAUCAGCUGUCAGUCGCUCAGCCGUCACCUAGCAACCGUUGCUAUGGCACCACACACGUAAUCGGUGACGCGUCUUUCCUUUGAUGUGUGAGACUAGUUAUAGAGCAGAUCAUUUUGAAUUUGAAGGCAUUGGAAGCAGCCAUGGAUUUGCUCAUACGCUGCUGUAUGAUCCUCCCUAUAUCGGAAGAUAUACAUGACGUACGCUUCAGCAUAUUCCCAAUGAUCGAGAGCUUUUUCUACAGGUUGGGAGAGAAUCAGUGGAACAACCUGGAGAAAUGCAUCCCAGAUGUCGCCAUUGAAGUUAUGUUGGCAGAACUGCUUAUGGAUAUAAUAACAGCGUUAUCCAAAGCAUGCCUAAACUGUUUAGUGAGCACUCGCACUUUGAAGACAUACACUGAAAGUCAAUUUCUAGAUGAGAUAUUGACUCAAAGUUUCAAACAUAUUAUGCAAAUUAAAGACAAAGUCGAGUGUGCAAGCUCAAAAUCCUUGAGUGACAUGAUACUUAGAGAGGCUUUAGGAAAUGCCAGAAGAUUUUACAAAAUCAAGAAACGUACUUUUCACCUAGAGCACGUCAUUCCCCUUGAACAACUCAAGUUAAUGGUUAGUCAUGCCUUAAUAAUGUUGUGGGAAUUUACUCCAAUGAUGAAAAAGCCGUCCAUAUUUCGAGUACAAAGACAGAAAAUUACUUUGACCAAAAAGCUGGUGCCUGUCGACCAAGAUGGUGUUGAGGAAUCAAAGGCUCCGGACAAUGUCACGUCAGAAAGAGUUCAAUCAUCAAUUCUGAGGAAAGUGAACGAGACAAUGGAUCCUUUCCUGCAUGACACGUCAAAAAUACGUUACUCCGGCUUAAUCAGUUCACAAAUUCCAUGGGACGUUAGUGAAAAAGUAUUUGAUAUAAAAAAUUCCUGAAGGACGAAGAAUACUCCCCCAUAUUGAUGGGUGAUAUACAACCCUUUGUGUCAGACCUGGUGAAGUGGGCUAACAAUGAACAAAAUCACAACAAUGUUUUGGAAAUCUCUGCAAUCGCAACACGUCUGAAGGAUGACCUUUUCAAAAGAAUUCAGAUGACACACCAGGGUGUUAUCAAGAAUGAACUGAUGGAUGAAGAGAUUUCUGAAAAAGUAUAUAUCUUCAUGAACUUGUUGAAUUUAUAUAACUGUCAGGUUCUCAGGAUGGUUGAAAAUAUUGGACCGACUAAAGAGAUAAUUUCAACUACGAGUAAAGUUGAGGUCACAAAGUCACAAAGUUCAAAUGUUCCGUUAAAAGAGUUUUCUUCACCACAGUUGCUGGUCGACCACCAGAUCGACGUUCUUCCAAAUUCUCCUGUAGAACCUUCACAGGACAACACAGGGCAGGAAAGAAAAAAACGUUGUGUUGAGCCGGUCAUAGAGGACCUAGUUUGGGGGUUAGCAGAGAACUUCAAUAUUGAAAGUUGCACCAGGCAACUCGAGGUCAUCAUUCAGCGUCUGGUUGAAAAGAUUUUGUCCAAAGUCAAGUAUGUGGACUUUGACCUCAAACUAAAAUCCUUCAAGAACUUGCACAAGAAGAUGUACAAUGAGCUGUACAAGAUGAAGGGCGGUAGAGCAGAUUUGCUGCUCUGCUUGAUAUUGGGGGACGAGGAAGUUGAAGAUUGCAUCGUCUCCAUCAUCAUAAAUCACGUGGGGCAGAGAAGCGGUAUCUGCAAGUUCUUCAGCCGCGUGGGCCAAGCCUUCAACAACAUCUUUAGGCAAAACAACAGUAUACAUCCAAUGCCUGACAAAGCCUGAGACAGUCGUGGAACAGUCCGUAAGACAGUUGGUGGGACAGUCAUGGGACUGUCGUGGAACAGUCGUGAGACUGUCGUAGGACAGUCGUGAGACUGUCGUGGGACUGUCGUGGGACAGUCGUGAGACAGUCGUGGGACAGUCGUGGGACAGUCGUGGAACAGUCGUGAGACUGUCGUGGGACUGUCGUGGAACAGUCGUGAGACUGUCGUGGGACUGUCGUGAGACAGUCGUGAGACUGUCGU